rnacentral:rRNA from 1 species
UACAGAGGAGCCAAGCGUUGUCCGGAUUGACUGGGCGUAAAGCGCACGCAGGCGGAUACGCGCGUGGGGUGUGAAAUCUGGCCGCUUAACGGCCAGGCGCCAUCCCAUACGGCGUGUCUGGAGCUGUGCAGAGGUCGGUGGAAUUGCCGGUGUAGUGGUGAAAUGCGUAGAGAUCGGCAGGAACACCCCAGGGGGAAACCAGCCGACUGGGCACAUGCUGACGCUGAGGUGCGAGAGCGUGGGGAGCGAACCGG